rnacentral:misc_RNA from 1 species
UGAUUUUAUUGUUUAGUGAGAAUGAUAUUUGUUCUUUAACAAUGUGGUAAAAAGUAUAAGUAAAGAUUCCUUGAUUAAUUUAGGGUUAUUUUUAGUUUUGAUUGAGAUGUAUUUAUAUGUCUUGAUUGAUAAUUGGGAAUAAUUUUUAGUUUAUUUAAUUAACGAGUCUUGGUAAUUUUUGAAAACCGGUGUUGAGAUAUAAUGUUGAUUUGUUUUAUUUAAGAUAAGACUUUUUGGGGUUAUAUGAUCAAGUGAAUAAGUGCAU